UAGAGAGAGAAAGAGAGAGAGAGAGAGAGAUCCA
rnacentral:sRNA from 1 species